rnacentral:rRNA from 1 species
GCAAGUAUCCGCAUUCCAGUGAGCAUGCCCUAGGUACCCCGUUAUAUCGGGUCGAUAGGAGUGGACAUCAGGCACACCACAACACCAACCGGUAGCCCAAGACGUCUAGCAAUUGCCACGCCCCCACGGGUCCUCAGCAGUAGUUAACAUUAAGCCAUGAGUGAAAACUUGACUUAGUCAUAGCAAAUCAGGGCCGGUAAAUCCUGUGCCAGCCACCGCGGUCAUACAGGAGGCCCUAAUCAACAUUACAGACGGCGUAAAGCGUGGCCACAUGCUAUCCAAGUAACUAAGAUUAAAAAGCAACUGAGCUGUCAUAAGCCCAUGAUGCCCAUAAGGCCGCUAUUCAAAGAAAAUCUUAGACUAACGAUUGAUUGACCCCACGAAAGCCAGGGCCCAAACUGGGAUUAGAUACCCCACUAUGCCUGGCCGUAAAUCUUGAUGCUCGAUCUUACCGGAGCAUCCGCCCGAGAACUACGAGCACCAACGCUUAAAACUCUAAGGACUUGGCGGUGUCCCAAACCCACCUAGAGGAGCCUGUUCUGUAAUCGAUGAUCCACGAUAAUACCUGACCAUUUCUUGCNGAAGCAGCCUAUAUACCGCCGUCUCCAGCCCACCCAACAUGAAGGAUCAACAGUGGACGCAAUAGCCUCACCCGCUAGUACGACAGGUCAAGGUAUAGCCUAUGGAAUGGAAGCAAUGGGCUACAUUUUCUAGAUUAGAACACUACGGCAAAGGGACAUGAAACUGUCCCUGGAAGGCGGAUUUAGCAGUAAAGUGGGACAAUCGAGCCCUCUUUAAGCCGGCCCUGGGGCAUGUACAUACCGCCCGUCGCCCUCCUCAAAAGCGA